rnacentral:lncRNA from 1 species
CCCCAUGAGAGUGGAUGCGGCAGUGGCUCUCGUUGACAACGUACAUCAGUAACCUCAAAAGGUCAUUCCUCGCGAACACAUCGCAACGCCGGCUGUAGCGGCAGCCAUCCGGCCGUUCCCCUUUGCCGUGUGGUAGGUCGUCCCUGCUGAAUCUGCAAUCUCCUCCGAUGCCCGUGUUGUUGAGCGGAGUUUCCGCAUCCAGCAACAACGGCGGCUAAUCUUAUCCAUCCCCAUUUUCCCUUGACCCUGUGUUUGUACAAACAGGUGCAUAUCUUUCCUUUGCCUUACCAUGUCCUCUCUCUAUGAAAUAAAUUUUAGGCAUGCAUAGCACGGUUAUCAAAUUACUGUUUCUAAUAUUUUUUCUAGCAAUUAGACUCUUGGAAUUUUCUAUUAUUUGUUAAAUCAGAUCUGAAUUGCUAGGGAAGAAAGAAAGGUUAUAGUAAUUGAUAAAUGCACACACAUCGCACCUACUGAACGAUAUAAAGAUUAGCAAAACCACAUUAGAUGUUCAGUAAUAAUGGAGCUAAGAAAUCAUCAUGCUCUCACCCAUGUGCUCGAAUAGCAGUGUAGUAGAUUCAUUCAUUGUGGCAUAGAACCAUUUAAUCGAAAAGCACUGCAGUAGAAUCAUUGAUAGGGGUUUGUUUGUAUCUUUCAGAAUAAAUUUAAAAUGUCUCACAUUUAAACUAUUUAUUUUAGUUGGAUGCCCUCUAUAAUGUCAAGUAAGUUUACUUUUAUCUUUCAGAAUAAAUUACCAUGUAGAACUAUUUCAAAACAAAAAGAAAAGAUUACUCAUGCCACAUUAGAAACAAUCAUUAACUGUUCUGGUUUUUAGUUUAAACAACUUGCACUAAUUUUACAUGGUUAUGCUUAUGUAUGAAAUCAAUCGAGCAACCUCGCUUCUCGAUGGGGAAUCCUCAGAAGAUAUGUAUCCACCUGAAACAAAUAACAACUUUCUAAAUAUGAUUUUGAGAAACUAAAUUAGGGAAUCUUCCCUGUAAUCACCUUUUGAAAUAUAAACAAUAAAACAGUAGGUGAAAUGGCAUAUAGUACCUAUUAUUUUGUCACGCACGCACAAAUAAUUCAAUCUGCACCUAAAGUCUGAAUAAAAAAUCUUUAUAUGUACGUGCAUGUAAGUAUAAUGAAUAUUUAUUCGACACUUGCAAGAAUCAUAAGAACACAUUCAACAAAUUAAAGAGAAAAAUGUGUACCAUAUACGCACUUGCAGAUUGUAUGACACCAAUCAGAUUGUUCCUGCCGGAAGCAAGCUCACAAACACUAUAUUUGGGUUUGUUAAAUGGAUGCAUCAGAACAUUGAGUUUGCUAGAAAUUCUAAAAUCAUACUAAAUUAAAUAAUGACUAUAGACUAUAUAUGAAUAUAAUAAGAUACCCAAAAGUAAAUAAAUUUCGUUCUGAUAAAAUAUUUCAGAUAUAUCCAUUUGAAACCAAAUAAGGCUGCUAUGUCUGCAUCACAUUAUAUUUAGUCAUAUCAGAAUGCUUGUAACAAUAUCUAUAAUAUAUCUUUGUAAACAAUGUUUUUUGCAACCUUGUCGGAUGGACGCUCUUCAUCUGAUAUGAGUAUCUUCAAUCCAUUUCUGCUGGUCACCCUUGACAUUGCAACAUAGAGUUGUCCAUGUGUGAACACUUGCCUUUCUAAGUAGAGUCCAACUUUUUUGAGAGAUUGCCCCUGGCUUUUGUUUAUAGUCAUCGCAAAGCACACUGAUAUUGGGUAUUGUCUCCUUUUUAGAAUGAAAGGCCAUUUUGAAUCACUUGGUGACAUGAUAAUUCGUGGGAUGUAAACUUUGUCACCAACGUUAGGACCUGUUAUGACAUGUCCUUCAAUGAAACGCUUUCCUAGCUGUGUUAUUGUUAGUCUUGUCCCAUUGCAAAGUCCUGCACUUUGAUUGAUGUUCCUCAUAAGCAUUAUUGGUAAUCCUACUUUCAGCCUCAGUUCAUGGUCUGGAAUUCCAGAAAAUGUAAGACUAUUCAGAAACUCAGUUGGGUACAACAUAUCUUCAUCUUCCACUGUAGACAUUGCCUUGCAUGUUGUAUCUGAACUGAAAUAGGUUACCUCUUCUCCAGGGAUUUGACUCAUGAUGUAUGCAUUAAUCUGGUCAAUAGUCUCGUUUCUUGGGCACAAGAUCGCUCUUUCCUCUAGGUAUGUUCUAUCAGUGUAUUUUCUGUGUAAGUCAGGAUAGGUGGUGUUAACAAUAGAUGCUUUCGGGUCAUCCCCUUCAUGUAAAAUAAGGUCCUCUGGGAUGCCAACCCAAUCCUCUUGAUCUAUUGUUGACGUUGUGCCAUCACCUAUGUUUAGUAUCCAGUUUGCGAAUUCAGCUAUUUUUGCUUUCUCUUCUGGACUACCUUCGGAUGAAUUCAGACACAUAUUUUCUUUGAGUCGGUACUCCUGAAAGUUCUUCCAUAGGUAGGAUCUCUUUAUUGAUGCAGAAAUGAUAUGUUCUCUUUUCCCCUUCGGUAUAACUGGUAGGAUUUGCCUGAAGUCACCUCCCAAGACUACUGUCAUUCCUCCAAAUGGUCUAUUCUCUGCGUCCUCAUAUGUGAACCGAAGUAUGUCUCUCAAACUUUUAUCUAGUGCCUCAAAACAGCGCUUGUGUGUCAUAGGUGCUUCAUCCCAUAUUAUCAGUGACAUUUUCUUUAUUAGCUCCGCAAGAAAUGUUCCUUGCUUGAUGUUGCAUGUGGACUCAUUAGUGAUCUUGAGGGGAAUGUGAAAUCUUGAAUGAGCUGUUCUUCCACCCUGUAAAAGAAGUGCUGCUAUACCACUUGAAGCAACUGCUAGAACUAUUUUUCCUUCAGAUCUUAAUUUUGUCGUGACUGCUUUCCAAAGAAAUGUCUUUCCAGUUCUACCAUAUCCGUCAACAAAAAUCAAUUUCCCAAGACUGUCGUUGACUGAUUCUAUUAUAACGUCAAAAGCCAUCCUCUGAUCCUGAUUUAGCUUAUGCAUUAACUUCAUGUCUCUAUUCUUAAAGAAUCUUUAUCGUAGUUUGGUUCCUCAUUUACUAAUCUAUUAUUUAGAUCUUGAAUAACUGAACUAUAUGGUAGUGGCAUUCUUGGAAAAUCUUUGAGGGACUUACCACCUUUAGUCAACAGUUGUUCUAUCUCUGCCAGGAGCAGGCUCUUUAUUUGUGCCGAGUUGAGUUCCAGGGCCUGAAAAUUGAAUAUUCUUCUUUGCCGACGUUGGAUAUCCUCAGAUAGUAACUCCCAAUUUUUUGCCACAACUUUGCGAGAUCCGUCACCUCAGAAAAUAAAAGUAUUGUGCAGAAAAGUUGGCGCAUUUGAGGAGCAGAGGCCCAAUGGGAUGCUUCCUUCAUGCAGUCAUCCCACUCUUUGUCGUCGUUAAGUAGCCCAAGAGCAUAACAUGCGGCUUUGAAUGUUGGAUGUACAACCCCAUCAACUGUUCGAAUUUCUUCAUAUGAUCUGCAUCCUUUGACGGUAUUUAACAACAUUCUCAAGUAGUAUUUUUCACCGCUCAUUGUUUGUGCAUAGUAAAUCCUGCCUAUGGUUUUUUUCCACCACGCCUUUUCCUCCAUUCUUUCUCUUGUGCAUGCCAAGUCCAUUUGGUUGGAAACUGUGCAUACGUCAAACUGUGAGCUUCUUCAUGCAACUGGUUGGCUGUCAUCCAUUCUGUGAACAUUGUCUUUUCUAUGUUAGGCCGGGAUACAAUUUGAUCUAAAUCCAUUGAGUCCGGGAACACCACGACAUGUUCAUUUUCUAGGUGAAAUUGUAACCUUUCAACCGCAGGCUCUCUGUACUGAAGAGGAAACUGAAAUAUGCGCCAUGCGGCUUCACAUCCAGAUAUGUACCGGGCAUCAAGGUACCUCUUGAUUUCGUUGUCCCUGUUUGUUAAUUUGCUAGCUCUUGUUUCACUUUGCUGGUCUUCCGCUUCUAUCAAGACGGUUGUUUCGAUCUUCUCCUUUGUGGAUGUAUUUGAAUAAAUACUUUAUAGACCUUGAUCUGUUGCACCAUUCAACAUUUAUGUGGGCUUGAUACUUGACCAGUAGGUUUCUAUUGUAUGGCUGUCACGCCCAAGAUGUGACCCUAUCCUAAAGGAACUCGAAGGUCCCACAAAGGAUAGAAGCACAUCUUGAAGACGCUUUUGCAAGGUGGAUAUCAUUACAUCAACAUUACAUAAUAGAUGGGGAUACAUACAUAAGGCAUACAAUGCCACACGAAUACAUCAAUACAACAUACAUAAGAUCAACAUCCGACUACGGAUGAAACACAAACGGAAACUCAAACGACAUCCACCCUGCUAGCUCAGGCUGCCGACCUGGAACCUAUCCCCUGAUCGAAGAAGAAGCCGAAGAAGAACUCCAAAACAAGCAAGCAUCGCUCUCGCAUCAAGAUCAUCGCAUAACCUGUACCUGCAACUGUUGUUGUAGUAAUCUGUGAGCCACGAGGACUCUGCAAUCCCAUUACCAUGGGUAUCAAGACUAGCAAAGCUUAAUGGGAAAGAAAGGGGGUAAAGUGGUGAGGUUGCAGCAGCGACUAAGCAUAUAUGGUGGCUAACAUACGCAAAUAAGAGCGAGAAGAGAAACAAUGGAACGGUUGUGAAGCUAGCAAUGAUCAAGAGGUGAUCCUGAACUCCUACUUACGUCAAACAUAACCCAAAACCGUGUUCUAUUUCCGGACUCCGCCGAAAAGAGACUAUCACGGCUACACACGCGGUUGAUGCGUUUUAAUUCGGAUCUGGUGUCAAGUUAUCUACAACCGGACAUUAAAAAAUUCUCAUCUGCCACAUAACCGCGGGCACGGCUCUCGAAAGUUUAUACCCUGCAGGGGUGUCCCAACUUAGCCCAUCACAAGCUCUCACGGUCAACAAAGGAUAUUCCUUCUCCCAAGAAGACCCGAUCAGUCUCGGAAUCCCGGUUUACAAGACAUUUUGACAAUGGUAAAACAAGACCAGCAAAGCCACCCGAAUGUGCCGACAAAUCUUGAUAGGAGCUAGACAUAUCUCGUUCUCAGGGAACACCGGAUUGUCCAAACUUCCGGUAGGCCAUCCCAGAGUUGCCCCUGGUGGCCACCGGCGGCUGAUAGGUUGGACCAACACUCAUGACGAGCACUGGCCCGGGGGGGGGGGUAAAUAAAAAUGACCCUCGGGCUCCGGAAACCCAAGGGGAAAAGGGCUAGGUGAGGCAAAUGGUAAAACCAAGGUUGGGCCUUGCUGGAGGAGUUUUAUUCAAAGAAAACUGUCAAGGGGGUCCCAUAAAUCACCCAACCGCGUAAGGAACGAUAAAUCCGGGAACAUAACACCGGUAUGACGGAAACUAGGGCGGCAAGAGUGGAACAAAACACCAGGCAUAAGGCCGAGCCUUCCACGCUUUACCAAGUAUAUAGAUGCAUUAAUUAAAUAAGAGAUAUUGUGAUAUCCCAACAUAACCCUAUCCAUCAUGGAGCAAUCUUCAACUUCACCUGCAACUAACAAUGCUAUAAGAGGGGCUGAGCAAAGCGGUAACAUAGCCAAGCAAUGGUUUGCUAGGAAGGGUGAAAAGGUUAGGGGCUGACAUGGCAAUUUGGGAGGCUUGAAGAUCAAAUGAUAGAUAGUGCAGCAUAGCGAUAGAAUGAAGCAACUAGCAUAGCAAUGAUAGUAGUGAGAUCUAGGGUAGCGGUCAUCUUGCCUGAAAUCCCGCUAGGAAGAAGAAUGAGUCGAUGAGGUAGACGAACCAACGUAGUCGAACGAAUCCUCACAACUCUGGAACGAAACCGAAGCUAACGAGAGAAGCAACCCGGAAAGAAGAAAAAAAUAUGGUAAACAACCAUCACAAAGACAUGGCAUGAUGCACAAUCAAGUAUGAUGCAUGUCCGGUUUAAUGAGGCAUGGCAUGGCAAAGUGCAACAAACAAUACUACAAGUUAAGUGGAGCUCAAUAUGCAACGAGUUGCAUAUUGACAAAACACCACAUUGACAUAUUUAGUUUAAUCUUGUUUAAGCUACCAAACAAUAUUAAAUGUUGUUAAACAUGGCAAGAGGUGAAGCAUAAUAAAACUACCUAUCUAGGCAAGUUUAAAUGAGGCCGGAACAACGAACAACAAUUCCGAAAAAUCCUCAUGUCCACAUUUCGAAUUUGGUACUGUUCUGCCCUAAAACAUAUUUUAAAGUUGUUAAACAGGAAAAUAAAGUGGACCAUGUUAAACUAGGCAUUUUCCCACCCCAUUUACAUAUAAAGAACAUUUAAAACCGAGCUACGGUUAUUUAGUAAUGAAAUAAAUCAUUUUAACAUGACAUUUAAGCAAAUUUAAACAAACAGCAUUUUGAGCAUUUUAAACAUGGAUGAAAGUGGCAUAUUAUUAAUCUACACAAAAUUCUAAGCAUUUUACAUAUAUAAAAUAUUUUAAUAUGAUGCACCGUUCAUGAGUUAUUAUAUGCAUGAUGUGCAAGUGGUUUCUGCAAAUCUGUUAAAUCACUGGAUAAAUAGCAAAUUUGCAAAACUGGGAAAAAACAUGGUACAGGCCGCAUCUGACUAGCCCAAUAGAGGAAAGGCCAAUGGGGCUGCUCACCCUGGGCCUUGGGCUGGUUGGUGGAGUAGAAGGGCUGGAAGGGGAGCUGGAUCGAACGAGGAGGCCAGAUCGGGUCAACGCAGCGAGCAGAGGCGCGGGACGAGCCGCUGGUUGACGCGGCCAAUGCGAGCACCUGCACCUGUGGACGAAGAAGGCACUAGCGGUGCAGUGGCAGGAAACAGGGGAAACGGCGGCGGCUUGGCGCUGGACUCGGCGCGGGCGUCUCGCAGCGAGAUCCGAAGAGGGGACGACGAGGAACGGCACAACGGAUCUGAUGGUUGGGCGGCCGGAGGAGGUCGAGGGCGGCUCGACUUGAGGCCAUGGCAGCGGCGUCCUGCGUUGAGAGACAGAGAGCGUAGCGUGAGGGAGGGAGAGAGAAACGAUAGUGAAGAAGAAGAAAGAGAGAAAGGAAGGAGGCAGAGGAGCUGCGCCAUGGUCUAGUCGGGUUCCGACGGCUGGCCACGGUGGCGUUUGGCGACGGGAGGCUCGGGCUCCUGGCGCCUUGGCCGUCAGGGUCCUGCGAUAGAGAGAGAGAUGUGAGAUCAGGAGAAAGAAGGAAGAGAAGGAGGGACCGAGGGAGAGGGCGCGGGGUCGGCCUGGGGCUGCUGCAGCGGCCGGCUCGAGGAGAGCUGCUGGUCUCAGGCGCGUGAGAAGGGAGGAGCUCGUGCGCGAGGGUCCUGGUGACGCAGUCGCCAGUGAUGGUGGAGGUGCUCCUCGGGGACGAACAAGCAGAGGAGGGGGAAACAAGGAGGGGAGGAGUCUGGUUGUGGUUGGUGGAUCGGGAGGGGAUGGAUCCCAAGGAAGAGGAUCGGUGGUGGCUGGUUGGCUCGGUGCUGAAACCAAGGAAGAGAGUGGCGGCGGCUAGGAGGAAUGAGGAGGAUGGGACAAGCUGCCUAAUUUCUAGGGUUGGAUCCCGUGUAUAUAUAGUAGGUGGAUUUGGCUAGGGGCUAUUUGGUCCCUCCGAUUGUAAUCGGACGGCCCGGAAUAAAUAGGCAUGAGCGUCCAAUUAAGAAAAAGGAGAUGUUUUGGGGAUGAUCUGCACCCAUCGGUAACAACAACCCGGGUCGGGUUCGGGACAACUUACAUAUGCGCACGAGGGGGACUGAGCAAAGUGUAGAGAGGGUGGGCAUUUAGACGAGAGGGGGAACAAAGACAAUGGGGUCUGUCGAAAGGCCACGGGGUCAAGGGGGUUUUGUUGGUCUCGGAGAAAGAGAGAAGAGAGGGGUCCAAAUGGUCUGCGAGAAGGUCAACAAAGGCAAAGCGGUCCGAGGAGGUCAACGAGGACAAGGGCCUGACAAAAUGCCAACAGAGGCAAAGAAAGAAAGGGCAACUGCGUACGGUUACGAGUUUUAUGAAAACAUAUGGAUGUGAUGCACAUAAUGCUAUGAGAUGAGAUGCAUGCCAUGAACAAAAUGCAAAACAAAAGACAAAAACCCAACCACGAAGGAAAUAUCAUAUCGCAUCUCCGGAAAAGGCAAGAGUUGGAGUUACGAAUAUGGAAAGUUGUAUCCGGGGCGUUACAACACUCCACCACUACGAGAGGAUCUCGUCCCGAGAUCUAGGAUGGCACCGGAGAGAAACGGAAGAGGAAGAGAAGAGGUAAAACUUAGUUGCUUCUUCGACAAAUGAGUGAAACCAUGAACCCUAAGAGGUUGCACAAAUUGAAAGAGAGAAUACAAGGGAGAUGAACGAGAUUGAAAACACUCCUUAAACACGAGGAACAAGCAACAUUAUGAGAACCUUGAAGGUUGCAAAGACAUGAAUCAAGAGUUUAAUGGACAAGAUAGCAUUCGAAACCACUCCGGUUAAAACAAGAUGAGAGAGGAAGAAUUCGGGCAGCACUCCGGUUGAACAUGGAAGGAAUAGAACAUGAACUUGAGAAGAUGGGAAGAUACUUGAUGAAAUCAACAACACACUGCCUCCGAAACUAUUGAAAGAAUGGCACAAUGGGUAAGAAGGAUUCCAGACAGCACUCGGGUUGAAAAGAAAGGCAAAACUUGAUAACUUGAAAGAACUUGAAUGAGAACACAACACUCCGGUUAAAUGGAUAAGCACGAAAAACAUGAUCCUCACAAUUCGAGAUGAUGAGCGAAGAGAGCAACAUCACCAUGCCUCCGUAAGAAAAAAUAGAAGAUAGAUCAUUGGAAUAAAGGAAUGGAGAAGAAAUGCCAACUUCUGCCACAAAUGAGCUUGGAAAGCACCCUUCCGAGAAGGUUAUAAUGGAGUUGUUGGAAAACCCACAACGAAACGAAUAAGCUUGUAGUGGGCUUAUGGAAAACAUCUCAAGACUAUGAGGUGACAACCGGCCACUAAUGGAAACCAUUGAUUUGAUUGAGAGCACCAAAGAGAAGAAAAACUUCUUCACCGAGAUGAGAAGGAGAAAAAUGGAUCAUUGAUAAGCACCACAAAUAGCUACAUUCCUUAGGGAAGGCUGUAGGUGAGAUAUAACCCAAUAUAACUCCAACAAAAGAUUGAUUGGUUGAAAAGAUCUCUUGAACGAACAGAAAAUGAUGGAUUUAAAUAUGUCAGUCUUGAAAACUUGUGAAUCAUGAAACACGAAGGAAAAUUAUCAAGAAUGGCAUAACACCAUCUCAAGAGAUAAGGUAGAAAGAAUUGCACUUCGAAAUGCAAGAAGAAGAAUACUUGAACUCCUAACAAAAAAACAUGUGUUGAGCACCAUGUUUAUUUUUGAGUAUAGCUUGGUGGAUCUUAGUUUCGAGGGAAAUCUUGAAGAACAAUUAAAGAAUGAAAGAAUCCUUGACGAACCACCAUGUAGAUCCUCCAUGAAGAACUCUGGUAAUAAAAUGGUGAUAGAAAGAAAGAGAACUUGAAAACACAAGGUGAAGCCUUGCAAUGAUUUAGAUGAAGCUUUGCAACCAUAUAACUGAGAAAACUUGGAACUCCGGAAAUAAAAGAAUUGAAUCACCUCGAGGAAAUAAGAAUAAGAUUUAUUGUAUGCUUAUCCUUCAUCAAAUUAAAUUGAUGACAAGCAAUGGAUUUGGCAUACUACUUAUUCCCGUAGAAAGGAUUAAAAGAGAUAUAGCGCGAACUUGAGAAGGUAUUGAUGGAACCACCGGUGGAAUUUGGAAACAACGAAUGAAUUAAUAUGAUAAGGAAGGAAGUGAAAUCUUGAACGAACCACCGUAAAAAUUGGAAAAGAGAGUAGCAAGGGAACAAUUCACCGAAAAGAAUAGGAAAACGAAUGAAGAUACUUGAGGGGAUUUAGAUACAUGAGAACAAAGAGGCCAUGAACUGAUUAGAGGUUACUUGAACAAUGCACCGGUAAGAUUUGGAGAACGAUAGCUACACACUGAGAAUGAAGAAUUAUGACAUGAUGGCCUUCAGAGGAAAGAAAUGGAAAAAAACUCAUGAAAUGCUCCGGAUGGUAAGAAAAGAAUCCUCAUAGUCGAAAACAAUUAUGAGAGGAUGGCAUCAAGCUUGAACUACGCAUCUUUGGAAGAACGGGUAAGGAUUUAAGAGGAACUCUUGUUCGGUCUUCAAAAUCCGAGAAUGACGAUGAGAAACACCACCAUGAAUUGUUGAGAUACUCCGGGAGAAUUAAAAGAGGAAAGGUUGAGCCAAAGAUGAAAAGAAUUUGAAAACGACCUUGGAGAAGGCAUGUGACUGAUGAAAAUUCAUUCUUACGUCAAACUUGGAAAUGAAUUUGGGAAUAGCUCCUGAAUAAUUUGAAGAGUCAGGUAAGAUCCUGGGAAAAGACUUGUAGGUUAGGGCCCACUAAAAAGAAACACGCCGUUGAAAAUGAUUUUAAAGAGAGAUUGCACCGGUUGAAUUAAAUGGCUUGAAUGAGAUAACAAUCUCCAAAUAGCUUGAACGGAUUAAGAAUGGAAACACAAAUCUUCUGAGAUAUCUUCAACACUCUGGAACAAAUGAAUAGCAAGAGGUGAGUGAUUGAGAGGUGCACCGGCAUGAGAAAGCAUUUGACACGAGGAAAGGAAUAUGAACAACACUGAAGGCUUGAAUUGGAUCCACCGGAGAAGAAAAAAAGAACGAAGGAUGAUGAACUUGAAGCUCGUGAGCAUCUUCACGAGGGAUCACCGGAUCAAAACAUUGAUUGAAAAGAGUGAAGAGACUUCACAUGAAUAAAUGGAUACUUGAUUAAGAAAUCUGAGUCCUUGAAGAAAAAGGGUGGGAGGGCGGGAAAACAAAGGCAGCUUGGGGCAGAUGAAAUGGAUACCGUUGAGAAAAACUUAGAAUUCAUCUUGCGGAUGUUGAAAUGAUCGGAUCCACUUGAAGAGAAGCACACCGGUCGGAAAGAAUUGACGUGAAAACCUCAAUGAUCAAGAAGGAUUAGUAUUCACAUAGCAAUAUGAGAACACCGUUUAGAAAAGGUAUGGAAUCAACACUUGGCAUUGAAGCAACUCAAAUACCACAACUCAAAACAAAACAAAGGAUUGGCUUGCAGAAAUAAGCCGGAACAAAUACAUAUGAUAGAGAUUUACCCAAUCCCAUAUCAGGCAUCUGUCGGAAAGAUAUUCUAGGAGCUACUUGAAUUCACACCUAUAAACUCCUGAAACUUUCUGGUUAUGCAAUCUGGUGUUGGAGAUACAGGGGAAGCAAUAUAUCUCACCCAAACUAACAAUCCCUACAUCCAGCUGUAUCCAUCCGUCAACACAUAACCAAGAAAACUCCGAAAAUCGUGUACCUCAACCUUCGAAAAGCAUCUGUUAUACGAGCUAUGGCAAUACUCCCGAACUCCCCAGUACUGGGUGGCGUCGAGGUUAUCUCACCAACAACUGCAUAAAAGAGAUUUUCGAUGUCGGCAAAACUCAGGUAUUCCAGAACUGCAACGAUAAAAUUGUGAUGACAACACCUCGGAGCUCAACUCCCCGGGACACUGCCACAACUCCUAAAUGUCAGGAGGCACCAAGAACAAUGUUCUCGUCACAAGACUAUCGGAACGAUCCCAAGAUACCCGCGUGAUCCUAAAUUUUUUUUAGUGAAAUUUGAGGAGAAGAAAGACAAAUCAUCUAUGUCAGGAGUCCUCACCAGAGCGAUGAAGGGGGCUGAGGAGUAAAAAGAAUCCUACUCUCUGAUAUAUAUAAUCCAAAGACUCAAAAUAGUUUUCUUCUAGACUCAACAACGGCCAACAAUCAAGGGGGCUCCUGUGGUCGGUCGAGGCUCUGAUACCAACUUGUCAUGUCCAAGAUGCGACCCUAUCCUAAAGGAACUCGAAGGUCCCACCAAGGAUAGAAGCGCAUCUUGAAGAUGCUUUUGCAAGGUGGAUAUCAUUACAUCAACAUUACAUAAUAGAUGGGGAUACAUAUAUAAGGCAUACAAUGCCACACGAAUACAUCAAUACAACAUACAUAAGAUCAACAUCCGACUACGGAUGAAACACAAACAGAAACUCAAACGACAUCCACCCUGCUAGCCCAGGCUGCCGACUUGGAACCUAUCCCCUGAUCGAAGAAGAAGCAGAAGAAGAACUCCAAAUCAAGCAAGCAUCGCUCUCGCGUCAUGAUCAUGGCAUAACAUGUACCUGCAACUGUUGUUGUAGUAAUCUGUGAGCCACGAGGACUCAGCAAUCCCAUUACCAUGGGUAUCAAGACUAGCACAGCUUAAUGGGAAAGAAAGGGGGUAAAGUGGUGAGGUUGCAGCAGCGAAUAAGCAUAUAUGGUGGCUAACAUACGCAAAUAAGAGCGAGAAGAGAAACAAUGGAACGGUCGUGAAGCUAGCAAUGAUCAAGAGGUGAUCCUGAACUCCUACUUACGUCAAACAUAACCCAAAACCGUGUUCACUUCCCAGACUCUGCCGAAAAGAGACCAUCACUGUUACACACGCGGUUGAUGCGUUUUAAUUGAGAUCUGGUGUCAAGUUAUCUACAACUGGACAUUAACAAAUUCCCAUCUGCCACAUAACCGCGGGCACGGCUCUCGAAAGUUUAUACCCUGCAGGGGUGUCCCAACUUACCCCAUCACAAGCUCUCACGGUCAACGAAGGAUAUUCCUUCUCCCAGGAAGACCCGAUCAGUCUCGGAAUCCCGGUUUACAAGACAUUUUGACAAUGGUAAAACAAGACCAGCAAAGCCGCCCGAAUGUGCCGACAAAUCCUGAUAGGAGCUCCACAUAUCACGUUCUCAGGGCACACCGUAUUGUCCAAACUUCCGGUAGGCCAUACUAGAGUUGCCCCUGGUGGCCACCGGCGGCUGACAGGUUGGACCAACACUCACGACGAGCACUGGCCCAGGAGGGUAAAUAAAGAUGACCCUCGGGCUCCGGAAACCCAAGGGGAAAAGGGCUAGGUGAGGCAAAUGGUAAAACCAAGGUUGGGCCUUGCUGGAGGAGUUCUAUUCAAAGCGAACUGUCAAGGGGGUCCCAUAAAUCACCCAACUGCGUAAGGAACGCAAAAUCCAGGAACAUAACACCGGUAUGACGGAAACUAGGGCGACAAGAGUGGAACAAAACACCAGGCAUAAGGCCGAGCCUUCCACCCUUUACCAAGUAUAUAGAUGCGUUAAUUAAAUAAGAGAUAUUGUGAUAUCCCAACAUAACCCUGCCCAUCAUGGAGCAAUCUUCAACUUCACCUGCAACUAACAACGCUAUAAGAGGGGCUGAGCAAAGCGGUAACAUAGCCAAGCAAUGGUUUGCUAGGAAGGGUGAAAAGGUUAGGGGCUGACAUGGCAAUUUGGGAGGCUUGAAGAGCAAAUGAUAGGUAGCGCAGCAUAGCGAUAGAACGAAGAAACUAGCAUAGCAAUGAUAGUAGUGAGAUCCAGGGUAGCGGUCAUCUUGCCUGAAAUCCCGCUAGGAAGAAGAAUGAGUCGAUGAAGUAGACGAACCAACAUAGUCGAACGAAUCCUCACAACUCCGGAAUGAAACCGAAGCUAACGAGAGAAGCAACCCGGAAAGAAGCAAACAAUAUGGUAAACAACCAUCACAAAGACAUGGCAUGAUGCACAAUCAAAUAUGAUGCAUGUCUAGUUUAAUGAGGCUUGGCAUGGGAAAGUACAACAAACAAUACUACAAGUUAAGUGGAGCUCAAUAUGCAACGAGUUGCAUAUUGACAAAACACCACAUUGACAUAUUUAGUUUAAUCUCGUUUAAUCUACCAAACAAUAUUAAAUGUUGUUAAACAUGGCAAGAGGUGAAGCAUAAUAAAACUACCUAUCUAGGCAAGUUUAGAUGAGGCCGGAACAACGAACAACAAUUCCGAAAAAUCCUCAUGCCCACAUUUCGAAUUUGGUACUGUUCUGCCCUAAAACAUAUUUUAAACUUGUUAAACAGGAAAAUAAAGUGGACCAUGUUAAACUAGGCAUUUUUUCACCCCAUUUACAUAUAAAGAACAUUUAAAACCGAGCUACGGUUAUUUAGUUAUGAAAUAAAAUAUUUUAACAUGGCAUUUAAGCAAAUUUAAACAAACAACAUUUUGAGCAUUUUAAACAUGGAUGAAAGUGGCAUAUUAUUAAUCUACACAGAAUUCUAAGUAUUUUACAUAUAUAAAAUAUUUUAAGAUGAUGCACGGUUCAUGAGUUAUUAUAUGCAUGAUGUGCAAGGGGGUUUCUGCAAAUCUGUUAAAUCACUGGAUAAAUAGCAAAUUUGCAGAACUAGGAAAAAACAUGGUACAUGCCGCAUCUGACUAGCCCAAUAGAGGAAAGGCCAGUGGGGCUGCUCACCCUGGGCCUUGGGCCGGUCGGUGGAGUAGAAGGGCUGGAAGGGGCACUGCAUCGAACGAGGAGGCCAGAUCGGGUCAACGCAGCAAGCAGAGGUGCGGGACGAGCCGCUGGUUGACACGGUCAAUGCGAGCACCUGCGCGUGUGGACGAAGAAGGAAGCAGCGGUGCAGCGGCAGGAAACAGGGGCAACGGCGGCGGCUUGGCACUGGACUCGGCGCGGGCGUCUCGCAGCGAGAUCCGAAGAGGGGACAACAAGGAACAGCGGAACGGAUCUGAUGGUUGGGCGAUCGGAGGAGGCCGAGGGCAGCUCGACUUGAGGCCAUGGCAGCGGCGUCCUGUGUUAAGAGACAGAGAGCGUAGCGUGAGGGAGGGAGAGAGAAACGACAGUGAAGAAGAAGAAAGAGAGAAAGGAAGGAGGCAGAGGAGCUGCGGCAUGGUCCACUCGGGUUCCGGCGGCUGGCCACGGUGGCGUUUGGCGAUGGGAGGCUCGGGCUCCUGGUGCCUUGGCCGUCAGGGUCCUGUGAUAGAGAGAGAUGUGAGAUCAGGAGAAAGAAGGAAGAGAAGGAGGGACCGAGGGAGAGGGCGCGGGGUCGGCCUGGGGCUGCUGCUGUGGCCGGCUCGAGGAGAGCUGCUGGUCUCAAGCGCGUGAGAAGGGAGGAGCUCGUGCGUGAGGGUCCUGGUGACGCGGCUGCCGACGACGGUGGAGGCGCUUCUUGGGGACGAACGAGCAGAGGAGGGGGAAACGAGGAGGGGAGAAGUAUGGUUGUGGUUGGUGGAUCGGGAGGGGAUGGAUCCCAAGGAAGAGGAUCGGUGGUGGCUGGUUGGCUCGGCGCUAAAACCAAGGGAGAGAGUGGCAGCGGCUAGGAGGAAUGAGGAGGAUGGGACAAGCUGCCUAAUUUCUAGGGUUGGAUCCCGUGUAUAUAUAGUAGGUGGAUUUUGCUAGGGACUAUUUGGUCCCUCCGAUCGUAAUCGGACGGCCCGGAAUAAAUAGGCUAGAGCGUCCAAUUAAGAAAACGGAGAUGUUUUGGGGAUGAUCUGCACCCAUCGGUAACAACAACCCGGGUCAGGUUCGGGACAGCUUACGGACGCGCGCGAGGGGGACUGAGCAAAGUGUAGAGAGGGUGGGCAUUUAGACGAGAGGGGGAAACAAAGACAAUGGGGUCUGCCAAAAGGCCACGGGGUCAAGGGGGUUUUGUUGGUCUCGGAUAAAGAGAGAAGAGAGGGGUCCAAAUGGUCUGCGAGAAGGUCAACAAAGGCAAAGCGGUCCGAGGAGGUCAACGAGGACAAGGUCCUGACAAAAUGCCAACGGAGGCAAAGAAAGAAAGGGCAACUGCGAAUGGUUACGAGUUUUAUAAAAAAAUAUGGAUGCGGUGCACAUAAUGCUAUGAGAUGAGAUGCAUGCCAUGAACAAAAUGCAAAACAAAAGACAAAUACCCAACCACGAAGGAAAUAUCAUAUCGCCUCUCCGGAAAAGGCAAGAGUUGGAGUUACGAAUAUGGAAAGUUGUAUCCGGGGCGUUACAAUGGCACAACAAAUCUAUUGUCUUGCUUCACUCCAUUUUUGUCCACAGUGUUGCCAUCAUCUCGCCUUCUAUAUACUGGAUAGUUAUCUUCAUCUAUGGUAGUCUCAGUGCAAAAAUUCUUGGGGAAAUGUUUGGCACAACUUUUAUCGACCAUGCAUGGUGAUUUGGGGUGUGCUUGACCACAUGGACCAUGUAUCUUGUAAUUUUGCACUGCUUCAUACCCUUCUGGAUCACUAUUCUUAUCAGGAAUUUCGGCUGAUAUGAUUUUGUCGAUCUGGGAAGGACUUGGAUCUUUAUCAUCUGGGUGUAGAAACACCAGUAUGUGUGCAUGCGGGAGGCCUCUUUUCUAGAACUCUAUAGUGUAGACAACUGUAUGAAAGUAAACAAAUUUGAGAAGAAAUGAGUUAGGACAAUCAUCUAGGAAAGAGUGAAUAUGUACUUAUUAGGUAAACUUACUUGCAAUUGUUUGUCGAAAACACUUUUCGUUCUUUAUGUCAUUCAUAAGUUCCUUCAGUUUUAACAUGAAUACUCUGGCAACAAUAUCUGGACGAUCUUCAGGUUUCUGGCCUGGAAUCAGAUCCAACAUAUCUUGUAUUUCCAGCCAUUUUGGAUUGCAUGUAAAAGUAAGGAAGAGAUCAGGAUAGCCAGCCCAACGACAAAUCGCCAUGGCAUCUUGGUAGUUUUGCUGCUUAUUUCUUGGACUGCCAUUAUAUGAUGAGGGUAGUAUGAUUCUUUUCGGUUCGUGUAUCUCCAUUUUCUAUUGCAUCAUGCAGUCCUCUGUACAGUUCUGUCCUCAACUUACCUUGGUUUGUCCUGUACCAAUUUCGUCUCCACUGUUCAAUGUACGUUGCUACAUCAACUAAGAACUGCAGGAACAAACGUCCACUCAUUUGCAAUGUUGAAGCUUGGUUUAGACGUUGUUGUAUGCGAUACACAUAAAACUCCAGCAUUGUUACAUACUUUCUUUUACCUUUGCUACCUCUUUUUUCUCAUACUCUAUUUCUGGUCUGAAACCAUCUUCUCCAUAUGGAAAAAGCAAGGGGUACUGCAUUGACAUUUAGCUUGGGUGCAACUCUGAAAUCCUCUGUAACAUUCUGUCUUUGGUCUCAACUGUUAUAUCAAAUUCAUUAUUUUCUCCAUCUUGUUCCCCAAUAAUUAGUGCUGCGACUUUUGAGGCAGAUGGUAGGUUGUAUUGCCGUCCAUCUUUCGACCUUUUGUUGAUCAAUCUUAGUCUUACAUCUUUAAUACGUCAGUUUUGGAAUCUGUCCCUUGCCAUAUGAAAUGAUUUGAGUAAAACAUUGUGCUCAUCAAGCAUCUCCAGUAGUCCUUUGACAAUGUUUUCAUCUGGUUGUGUCUUACUCUCCGUUGAAGCAGAUGCAUUAAUCCUAUUCUGCACUUCAUUUUCUAUGUCAUGUAUGUACAAUUGGGCAAAUUUUGGCUUCGUCACGUCAUCUUUAGGAAGUAAAGUGCCAAUAUGAUGGUAAUUCUGGCCAUUCAAACGGAAAACAUACGGUCCAGAUGCCUGCUUAUUAAUUUCAUAGUCAACCUUUCCUCCCAUUGAAGUGAAUGCGAACAUCGAGUUGUACAACCUGAUGUUCUUGCGGAAAUUUGAUGAUUCUCCUCUUUCAUUGUAACGUAGUAGCUGUCGGAGAUACAGCGGAGCUUGUUUCAGUGGUGGUAAUUUAACUUUCCCUUCCUUGCAGCAGAGACCAAAUUGUGGAACUGUGAUGUUACCUGUGCUUGUGCUUCUCUCUCCAUGCCACAUAAUGGCAUUGCAAAAUUCAGAAACACAAUUUGGUUUUCCCAGAUAUGAAAUUUGAGUGACAUCCUUCGCUACAUGAGAUACUUCACAGUCAUUGCCCUUUGCUGUCCUUAGUCGUUUGCUUGCCUUUUUCAGCUUGAGGAUCUCUUUCCUUUUCCGCCUAGCUUCCUUUGCUGCUGCUCUAAUGAUGUCUGAUUGACUAUCAUUAGAUUAGAGUGUUGCUAGUUUGGAGGCUGCUUGCUCAGGUAUUUAGAUUCCUUGAUGAUGCCACAUAUUCCUGCAUUUUAUUGUUUUUAUCACUUUAAUAAUCCAAGUAAAUUAAUAUUUAUAUGAUUAUUUUUGGUACUGUGGUAAUGAACACCUUCCGUUGUUUUGAUUUGCUCUAGUGCGUGUUUGACACAUGUUGACUGCGGCUAGUGAAUCCUGAAAUAAAUGAGGUAAAAGGUGUAACUGAUUUUAUUCUGAGAUAUAAGUGAGAACAUCUUAUACUUAACUGAUUUUAUUUGUCUAGAAAUUCAGAAUUGUUGAUGAUAAAUUUAAUGUAAACAUGUCAGGCACCACAUUGUUUGCAAGGAUGCUGAAGGUAUUUGUAUGGAACAGAUAGUUUCCUGAUAAGAUUCUUUUUCAUAUGGAUUGUUUUCCAAUAGAGGAUUUUAAAUCGUCUAAAAUCAUUAUUCUAUUGUGAAAGAAGGAUACUUGUGUUGUCACCUUCCGAUGAGAGGACGUAUAUGCUCUGUAAUUGGUGAUCAGAAUCUCAAUUUUAUCGCCACUUUCUCUCUGUAAUUCAAGUUAAUACAAAGCAUGUGUAAUGAGAUCGGAGAGUUGAUGUAUAUAUUAAUCAUUGCAGGAGACAUGCAUAUAUUAUUUGUGGAAGGAGAUAAUGAACAUUGGCUGCAAGUACUGCCACACAACCUGUCUGCUCCUUGUUGCUUGCGAGAGGAGGGCAAUGUCUUGCCGGGAUGUGCACGCUCUGUAAUUGGUGAUCUGAAUCUCAAGUUUAUCGGCGCUUUCUCUCUGUAAUUCAAGUUAAUACAAAGCAUGUGUAAUGAGAUCAGAGAGUUAAUGCAUAUAGUAUUAAUCAUUGCAAGGAGACAUUCAUGUAUUAUUUGUGGAAGGAGAUAAUGAACAUUACCUGCAAGUACUGCCACACAACCUGUCUGCUCCUUGUUGCUGGCGAGAGGACUAAUUAUUGCAUGUAUGUGAUGAAGGACGAGAUCGGGAGCGGUGUCUUGCCUGGAUGUGCACGAAUUGAGUCGAUAUAGAAUUCUUAUUUGUAAAGAAGCAUAGUUAAGGCUAGAGUUUGUAGGUUAGAGUUUGUCAUCUGUACGUUUUAAACCUAUACAAUAUCUGAGCCGUUAUUAUUUUGUGUCAGCAGAUAGAUAGCUCCUACUUGAAGUCAGUUUCCAUGUAUACUACAAUAUAUGCACGUCUCUGUUUCUUACACGUCUUGUCUACAC